ACAACUCCUGGGUCUUCCGCGCCUUCUGACAGCUGGGAAACCUGAAACUCAUGUCUUCCCCCUCCCUCGCCCUCGUGGGGGAGUGGAGGAUGAACAAUAAGUGAAGCCAGGGUUGUGAUUUGUUGACCCAGGCAGUGACUACACUUAAUUGCAACGUCAGGAAAUGGUGACUUUGAAAUCUUCAGUUUGAGCCCAACCCAGCAAGGCAGUCCAGAAGGGUAUCAGGGUCAAUGGUGUUGAAAGCCACUGAGAAGUCCAGUAGAAUCAAACAUUUUCACAUUGCAAAAAUUGCACAAUUGCGUUUGCAGCCUUGCUGAAGAGUUAGCACAGUUCUGUCAUUCCUGACCAGGCAAGAUCCCCGACGCCACCCAACAGUACCCGACGGUGGCUGUAUCCUGGAGGGACCCAGCAUGUGGCAUUUCCAACAGCAAGGAAGGAUUUUCUGGUGGUCUGGUUCCUGAGAUAUAUACCAAAAUGUUAACCGCCCCCCGCAACUGUUAAAUCUGUUACCUCACUGCAAUGCCAGAAAAUGGUGGCCUUUUCCCUGUUUAUCUGAAAAAUCUCAUAAAUUGGUCUACAUACAUGACGGAAGCCUGCAGAUCUUCUGUCUCUCCACUCAUAGAAGCUGAUCUACAAUUUCCUGUGAGUUCCCUCCUCUGAUAUCACGUAGCUCACGUGAAUAGACUGUGCUUGGGGUUCUCCCCCCCAAGUAAUCAGGAGUGACAUGUUUGAGAGUUCUCCCUUCUUCCAAGCAACCAAGGGCUCUACAUGGUGGUUUACUGUCUGUUUGGUGCUACUCACAUCUCCUUUAAAUCUGCGUGGUUCACAUGAUGUUGCUGGCAAACAGAAGCUAUUAUGCAGUUUCCCCCCUGUAAAUCCAUACUAACCCAAUCCACUGAUAGUAUGAAAAGGGAAGAAAAAAAUCUUCACUCACUUUGCUCCAAUGCUUUUAGGCAUUUCCAGAAUGGAUUCUGAUGAACUAUCUAAGCACAGUAGAACCACUGAAACAGCUGGAGAAUCAGCUAAUCUCUUGGAUGUUGUGAACUCUUGGCGUUUGCUCUCCACAAUCUUGCCCGGCCAGGAUGCUGGAUGUCGAUACAGUUUGCAAAAACAGAAAGUGUCUUCAGUGUGGCCUUAAGCUGAACUUUCCCUCCUGCAAAGGUUAACAAUAAAAGGUUGUUUUAGCUGUGUUGACUGCAGGGCUGUGUACAUUUACAGCUGGUGUAGAAAGACAGCAGACUGAAAUAUCAUGUCUUUCACAAGGAGAAUGGCUUCAAAUGGAUUCUGUGUACAGAAUCCAUAUAUUUUAUAUCCAUAUAUAUAAUCCACAUAUAGAAUCUAUCUGUCUAUCUGUCUGUCUGUCUAAAAU